UGUGAUAUUCAAUUUUCUUCUCACUAGUUUUAGUUUCUCAGUUUUAUAAAAAAGUUUUUUUUAUUACGACCAUUUUAAUGCAGUGUUUCCGAACAACAUGACCUCACAAUCGAUUAUUCAGUUAUAAUUGUAGACAUUUUAUAUGAAAAU